UACCUGCGGAGGGAUCAUUACACAAAUUAAUAAUUAUGAAGGCUUCGGCUGGAUUAUUUUUAUCACCCUUGUCUUUUGCGCACUUGUUGUUUCCUGGGCGGGUUCGCCCGCCACCAGGACCACACCAUAAACCUUUUUUUAUGCAGUUGCAAUCAGCGUCAGUAUAACAAAUGUAAAUCAUUUACAACUUUCAACAACGGAUCUCUUGGUUCUGGCAUCGAUGAAGAACGCAGCGAAAUGCGAUACGUAGUGUGAAUUGCAGAAUUCAGUGAAUCAUCGAAUCUUUGAACGCACAUUGCGCCCUUUGGUAUUCCAAAGGGCAUGCCUGUUCGAGCGUCAUUUGUACCCUCAAGCUUUGCUUGGUGUUGGGCGUCUUUUGUCUUUGGCCUCGCCCAAAGACUCGCCUUAAAACGAUUGGCAGCCGGCCUACUGGUUUCGCAGCGCAGCACAUUUUUGCGCUUGCAAUCAGCAAAAAGGACGGCAAUCCAUCAAGACUACAUUUUUACGUUUGACCUCGGAUCAGGUAGGGAUACCCGCUGAACUUAAGCAUAUCAAAA
rnacentral:rRNA from 1 species